rnacentral:rRNA from 1 species
UACGUAGGGGGCAAGCGUUAUCCGGAUUUACUGGGUGUAAAGGAGGCGCAGACGGCGAUGCAAGCCAGGAGUGAAAGCCCGGGGCCCAACCCCGGGACUGCUCUUGGAACUGCGUGGCUGGAGUGCAGGAGGGGCAGGCGGAAUUCCUGGUGUAGCGGUGAAAUGCGUAGAUAUCAGGAGGAACACCGGUGGCGAAGGCGGCCUGCUGGACUGCAACUGACGUUGAGGCCCGAGAGCGUGGGGAGCAAACAGG